CAUAGCGACUAUCGUGGCAUAUCAAUAAGCGGAGGAAAAGAAACUAACAAGGAUUCCCCUAGCAACGGCGAGUGAAGCGGGAAGAGCUCAAAUUUGAAAUCUUCAAGGUUUGACCUUGACGAAUUGUAGUUUAAAGAAGUGUUUUCUGUUGAAGUUUCGGUAAAAGUUCUUUGGAAUAGGACAUCAUAGAGGGUGAGAAUCCCGUAUUUGACCGUUAUUUUCAGCUGUGUGAUACACUUUCAAAGAGUCGGAUUGUUUGGGAAUGCAGUCCAAAAUGGGUGGUAAAUUUCAUCUAAAGCUAAAUAUUGGCGAGAGACCGAUAGCGAACAAGUACCGUGAGGGAAAGAUGAAAAGAACUUUGAAAAGAGAGUUAAACAGUACGUGAAAUUGUCAAAAGGGAAGCGUUUGACACCAGUGUUGUUUUCUCGAAAAUCAAUUAAAAAUGGCCUGAUUUUGUGUUGUAUUGACCUUAAAAGCUUUCUGCACUCUUUUCAUUGUCUUUUCUAAUGCACUUUUCGUUUAACAAGUCAACAUCAGUUUCUUUUGUUGUAAAAAGGUCAUUGGAAGGUGGCUUUCUUUUCGGAGAAAGUGUUUAUAGCCUUUGAUCUCUGCAACCGGAGAGACUGAGGUCUGCAGCGUAGACUCUUCGGGGUUAGAUACAUUUGUGCUAAGCUAUAGCUUUUUAUAGACAACUUGUUGACUAUAUUUAGUCUUGUGGCUUACUCGCUUAUGCUAUUUUACCUACGCUUAGGAUGUUGAUAGUCACAGCGUGUAC
rnacentral:rRNA from 1 species